rnacentral:rRNA from 1 species
CCCCUAGUAACUGCGAGUGAAGCGGGAAAAGCUCAAAUUUCAAAUCUGGCGGUUCCGCCGUCCGAGUUGUAUUCUGGAGAAGCGUCUUCUGUGCCGGACCGUGUACAAGUCCCUUGGAACAGGGCGUCGUAGAGGGUGAGAAUCCCGUCUUUGACACGGACCGCCGGUGCUAUGCGAUGCGCUCUCGACGAGUCGAGUUGUUUGGGAAUGCAGCUCAAAAUGGGUGGUAAAUUCCAUCUAAAGCUAAAUAUUGGCGAGAGACCGAUAGCGAACAAGUACCGUGAGGGAAAGAUGAAAAGCACUUUGGAAAGAGAGUAAAACAGUACGUGAAAUUGUUGAAAGGGAAACGCUUGAAGUCAGUCGCGUCUGCCGGAACUCAGCCUUGCUCACGCUUGGCGCACUUUCCGGUCCGACGGGCCAGCAUCGGUUUCGAGCGGCGGACACUGGCGGGGGGAAGGUGGCAGCUCCGGCUGUGUUAUAGCCCUCUGUCGCAAACGUCGCCCGGGACCGAGGAAUCCGGCGCGAGCCUGGGAUGCUGGCGUAAUGGCUUUAAACGACCCGUCUUGAAACACGGACCAAGGAGUGCUACGUGCUCGCGAGUGUUUGGGUGGAAAACCCGGACGCGCAAUGAAAGUGAAAGUCGAUACCCCUCGCGGGGGCACCGACGCCCGAGCCUGAUGUUUUCGGACGGCCUUGCGGUAGAGCGAGUGCGUUGCGACCCGAAAGAUGGUGAACUAUUCCUGAGGAGGGCGAAGCCAGAGGAAACUCUGGUGGAGGCUCGUAGCGGUUCUGACGUGCAAAUCGAUCGCAGGACUUGGG